UACGGAGGAUCCGAGCGUUAUCCGGAUUUAUUGGGUUUAAAGGGUGCGUAGGCGGCCUUGUAAGUCAGCGGUGAAAUUUUGCAGCUUAACUGUAACAGUGCCGUUGAUACUGCCAGGCUAGGAUUUGGUUGCUGUGGGUGGAAUGUGUGGUGUAGCGGUGAAAUGCUUAGAUAUCACACAGAAUAUCGAUUGCGAAGGCAGCUCACAAAGCCAAGAUUGACGCUGAGGCACGAAAGUGUGGGGAUCAAACAGGA
rnacentral:rRNA from 1 species